rnacentral:rRNA from 1 species
AAAUUCUAUCGGUGGAUAACUCGGCUCGUGGGUCGGUGAAAAACAGUCAACUGCGUGAAUUAAUGUGAAUUGCAGGGCACAGAACAUAGACAUUUGAAUGCAGCUCCGGGUUCUCACGGACCAACGAUUCUCAGAUUAA